UACGUAGGUGGCGAGCGUUGUCCGGAAUAACUGGGCGUAAAGGGAGCGUAGGUGGUGAAUUAAGUUAGGUGUGAAAGCCCAAGGCUCAACUUUGGAAUUGCACUUAAAACUGGUUUACUAGAGUACAGGAGGGGUAAACGGAAUUUCUAGUGUAGCGGUGAAAUGCGUAGAUAUUAGGAAGAACACCUGGGGCGAAGGCGGUUUACUGGACUGCAACUGACACUGAGGCUCGAAAGCGUGGGGAGCAAACAGG
rnacentral:rRNA from 1 species